AACGGAGGGUGCAAGCGUUGUUCGGAAUUACUGGGCGUCAAGCGCGUGCAGGUGGUUUUUUAAGUUUCGUGUGAAAUCCCAUGGCUCAACCAUGGAACGGCACGGAAAACUGGAAGGCUUGAGUACGGGAGAAGAGGGCGGAAUUCCCAGUGUAGAGGUGAAAUUCGUAGAUAUUGGGAGGAACACCGGUGGCGAAAGCGGCUCUCUAGACCGAUACUGACGCUCAUACGCGAGAGCGUGGGUAGCAAACAGG
rnacentral:rRNA from 1 species